rnacentral:rRNA from 1 species
GACGAACGCUGGCGGCGUGCUUAACACAUGCAAGUCGAACGAAGAGCGAUGGAAGCUUGCUUCUAUCAAUCUUAGUGGCGAACGGGUGAGUAACGCGUAAUCAACCUGCCCUUCAGAGGGGGACAACAGUUGGAAACGACUGCUAAUACCGCAUACGAUCUAAUCUCGGCAUCGAGGAUAGAUGAAAGGUGGCCUCUACAUGUAAGCUAUCACUGAAGGAGGGGAUUGCGUCUGAUUAGCUAGUUGGAGGGGUAACGGCCCACCAAGGCGAUGAUCAGUAGCCGGUCUGAGAGGAUGAACGGCCACAUUUGGGACUGAGACACGGCCCAGACUCCUACGGGAGGCAGCAGUGGGGAAUCUUCCGCAAUGGACGAAAGUCUGACGGAGCAACGCCGCGUGAGUGAUGACGGCCUUCGGGUUGUAAAGCUCUGUUAAUCGGGACGAAAGGCCUUCUUGCGAAUAGUGAGAAGGAUUGACGGUACCGGAAUAGAAAGCCACGGCUAACUACGUG